UGUAUUUUUACCAACAAUACACAUUUAUAAAACUUGAACAGAUUUAAAAUUAUGAUUUUGUACUUGGUUUCUGCAGCAUUUUGCUUGAUUUAAAGCCUAGGCAAAUUUUACAUUGGUAUUUAUAUACACAAACCCCCACUUACUUACGUAGCAACUUAUGGUGGCUAUGUAUUGGCUUUAAUCUAAAUAAGUGGGGGUUUGUAAUUCUACAUUUCAUCAUCCUGUUGCACAUCUGUAUUAAAUGUCUAUGUACUUUCAGAUGUAUCUAAACUGUUACUGUUGUGAUGUAAAAUUUGCCUAGGCUUUGAGUUAAGCAUGAUGCAGAAACCAAGUACAAAAUCAUUGAAGACAAACACACUUUUUAAAAAUCUGAAUUUACAACUCGGUUAAAAAUACUGAAUCAAAUAUUUCAAUCAAAAUAGAAAAAUAUAUUAUCUUCUGGGUCAGGCCCCAGUGUACACCUUCUCGCCGCCAUAUCAAACACUGUAAAUUUAAACAUAGAACUGCUUACCUCUGUCUUUCAUUAUUAUGUUCAGUUCAUUUAUAAAAUUUGAACAGAUUUAAAUUAUGAUUUUGUUCUUGGUUUCUGCAGCAUUUUGCUUGAUUUAAAGCCUAGGCAAAUUUUACAUUGGUAUUUAUAUACACAAACCCCCACUUACUUACGUAGCAACUUAUGGUGGCUAUGUAUUGGCUUUAAUCUAAAUAAGUGGGGGUUUGUAAUUCUACAUUUCAUCAUCCUGAUGCACAUCUGUAUUAAAUGUCUAUGUAUUUAGUUUUUCAAUAAUGUAAUGAUCAUUAAAAUAUUCCACACAUGUUUCUGCCACAGACCGCCAUCCUCAGGUGUUCAGAUGUGUCUAAACUGUUACUGUUGUGUUGUAAAAUUUGCCUAGGCUUUGAGUUAAGCAUGAUGCAGAAACCAAGUACAAAAUCAUUGAAGACAAACACACUUUUUAAAAAUCUGAAUUUACAACUCGGUUACAAAUACUGAAUCAAAUAUUUUAAUCACAAUAGAAAAAUAUAUUAUCUUCUGGGUUAGGCCCCAGUGUACACCUUCUCGCCGCCGUAUCAAACACUGUCAAUUUACACAUAGAACUGCUUACCUCUGUCUUUCAUUAUUAUGUUCAGUUCAAUAUCGUACAGCCUGCUGCAAACGUCCUAUUGUACCGUCCUAGUCAAAGAUCACGAAGUUGGUUGGAUUAAUGUGUUUAUGUUUACAACCUGCUGGUCGUGGCAACACUGUUCGGUUUCGAUGUAUUUACACAAUCAUCGCACGAAACGGCCUCCUUGGCUUUAGACGAACACAGGUUUGGGGUGGAUACCGAAUUGGUUGGCUUUCAAAUUCCCGGCCCCGCCGACAUGUUCGCAGCUACUGCUGCCGCAUUUCCUGCAAGACUGCCGAAACAGUAUGGACACAACACUUGCAACACGACCGGCUUACAUUGUGGUGGGCACGGUGUCAUCGCCCUCACGUCACGCAGCAUAGCUUUGCACACUUUGGUGGAUUAGUUGAAGUAGUUUUAUGUAGUGAUGAUCCAAUGCCAGCCUCCCCCGGCGUUAAAUCUGCUUCCUCUGUUUCGCACUCCCCAAAAUUAAUCCGUCUCUUAGGGCACCUUGGCGAAGAAGUACUUGUUGCAUUCGAUCUGUGACGUCUUUGUCGUCUGCGUCGUCUGUGUCGUAGAACAUGGUCUCCAUGAGCGGGUGAUUUGUCACUCUGGGGAGAGGCAGGAAUUGUGUGAUAUGAGGGUGGAGGUUGAUUUUCUUUGUCAUCUUCAUAUGAUGGAAGGGAGGGCAGGAUAUUAUCUGCACAUCGUACACAGGACGCUGAAAGUUGGAGAUGAUUAACUCCGGACGACGCGUCUUCGGAGUGUGGUGUUGUAUACUGCGACGAUCCAGUGCCAGCCUCCUCCGGUGUUAAAUCUACAAGUCCAUUGUCGUCAUAGUUCUGUUCGCAUUCGUCUUGCUGCUGUUGAUCCUGCGGGGUCGUUGUUGUGGUUGAUGUGUAACCACCACGCUCUUGGGAUUGAACUAUGUUGUAUAGUUCCUCCCUGAAAAUGCAACGCGCCUUCUUCAGAACCGUAACAACCAUGAGAUGUUUAUGGAGGCUAAUACCGCCACGUUGUUCGCGAGAUUCCGCCAAUUUAGUCAGAGAAAUGUUCAUUAGUCUCUCCGCUUCCCAUGCCAUCACUAUUAGCGUACUUACUGAAGCGGCCGGAAUAUCAAAACGAUGAAAGAAACACUUUGUACACUUACUGUUGCAGUUACACCACUUAUACGAAUUUCACCACACAAGAACUUCUAGUAUUCCAACAGCAGUUACAACGCAGAUACUAACGAAGCAACCACAUUCGAGGCGCACGACGAACUGCCAGUAACCUCAACAGGUGGUAUGACGUAACAGGCAAAAUAACGCAAUACCACGUAAUACAUGUCAGCUGAUAUUGUCACGUGGACAGCUUGCGUCAUUACGCAAAUCUUUUCAGCUGAUGUUGCCACGUCGACCGCUUGCGUCGUUGCCAUGACAUAACGGCCUACUUAUCAACCAAACAGUGGACGUCCUCCUACGGGAUAGCGCCGGUUUUUCUUAAAAUAAGGUCGGAAAUCGUAAAGAUUGUCUCGUACCAGAUCAUGCAAAUAUAUGAAAAUUGCUUGAACAUUGUAAGCCAAUUAAAACCCUAUCGUACAUUUACUUAAAAAGUUAUUGAAAUUGCAAUUUUGGUAUUAGAAUUUUCAUAUUGGUCCACCUAACACAGGCUGUAAUUUAAAAGGAAAAUAUAUUUUCAUCAGUUGCAAAUGGUUUGUUAAAAGUCCUAUUUAAAUAAUCACAUGGCAUUUGUAACAAUGUGACAUCUAUACUUCACGCGAAGGAGCGUGUGAUCGAUUUCUUUGUGGACAAAACACGUUUCUACUGAGUAUAGGACAUUAAUAUCGAUGAUAUCGAUUAAUAUGUCACCAGAUGCUAGGACAUCAGCCCGGGUAGAUUAACUAGCACCUUCAUUUCCUUACAAUGAGUCAUGGAAUUCUGAAGUUGAUAUAUGUGUGUGCGUGUGAAUGCUAUAAAUGUACAAAAGAGGUUUUAUAGCUUCAUAUAUCUUAGGAGAAAAUUUUGAUCUUGUCAAUUCAGUAGGCAGUGUCUGUCAUAUUAUACAACCGUGUGGGAAGAUGGCUGGCAGUUGGUUGAAGUGGUAUGCACGUCCUGAAAAUAACGAGUAUAGGUAGGAUGUAUAUGAUGGUCACGAAUGUUCUGAAUGUCUAGAAUUAGAAAACAAUCUGCAACAUGCACUUUCUGAAUUAAGCUGAUUGCCGUUAAUAAAGAAACUCCUGUUAAAGAGUGGGAAGAGACUAACCCCAAACUUAAGAUUUUAUCUGGUGUAGCGGUGAAUGUGAAGUCGGACGAACAUCAAAAUAGUUGACUGACGACGGAAUGUGCAAAAGGUAUAGAAAUAGUGGAAAGAACAACGUAGCAAAAUGUGGUAGAGUCAGUACUGGAGAGAAACUGGGAAGGAAACAUGGAAGGCGGUUCCAUUGUGCUGCAUUCUACAGCAGAAUUCUGCCGUACGUUGGGUGACAUCACCACGUAUGGUCUGGCUGGCAACAGGGAUGAGUACACUCAGGAACUACUUGUGAGUGCAAUACAACCAUUUGCAGAUUUGAUACCUCUCUCAUGAAUUUCAUGGAAAGGUACCUGGCAAAAAUAAAGUGGAGAAACGAAUGAAGAAAACUGAACAGGAGGGAGGCAACCACCUCAAAACAAAACUUCAAAUUCUUCAUGAAAUAUGCUGGCACCAACUCUGAACUUUGGCAUGGACAUAUGUUUUUAUUGUUUCUUACUGUCUGGAAUAUCAUCUCUGUUUUUAAAUAAGACACAGCUUGCAGCUGCUGACAGUGCCUGUGUGUACUGGAAGGAAGGCUACAGAGUUCAUGUCACAUUCAAAUGAGUACAGUGGUUCUCUUGCUUCCUUAGGUAACCUGUUGGCACCUGUAAACUGAAAAGUACAAUUUCUAGUGAUUAGUUGCUUGCUUAUAGGACCUGAGCCAGAUGGACAUCCUCUAAGCUAAAUCAGACAUGAAGUAAUUAUAUUUGGCCUUUCUUGAUUGCAAUAGCAAUAGCAUGCUGCAUUCAAGCCUGCAAUUUGGUCACUAAACAGUGUGACAUGUAUCCUUCCAAGGGAAGAAAGAAACUCUUGUUCUUUGGUAGGCCAGAAUGAAAAACUGUAAAAUUAUACAAGCAACAGAAUCAGAAGAUGUACAGUCCACUGCAAAUCAUUGUAAAGCACCACUGAUGUAUCACUGGAAAAUUUGUAAUGGGUUAUAAAAGUAACUUUGUUCAUCCUGGUCCAUCACACUAGUAAUUGUAUGUAAGAUUUUUAACCACCGUCCAUUGUAAUUGAUAAAAGUUGUU